GGUAUGAAGACAAUGAUUACCUUUGUAUGGUAGUACUGUUUGAAACAAAAUGGCAGUUCACUUUUUUUACUAGGUUAGAUUCUCUAGCUUAUGAAAAGAGCAUACCAUGUUAUUUGUUUCUUCAUUAUUAGCAUAAUAAGAAAAUCCACAUAGUUUGAACAUGUAAAUGCGCCUGUGCAAUAGAAUUAUCUUCACAUGAUGGGUCUCAUUUAAUUUGAUAGCACUUGUAAGAAGCUUUGCUUCAUUUGCUCAACAGAACCAUAUUAGGUUUCUUUGAUGGUGAAUACAUGUUCGUUCCGCAGUUCCAUC
rnacentral:sRNA from 1 species